ensembl:misc_RNA Metazoa_SRP Metazoan signal recognition particle RNA
GCCAGGUGCAGUGGGGCAUGCCUGUAGUCCCAGCUACUCGGGAGGCUGAGGCUGGAGGAUGGCUUGAGUCCAGGAGUUCUGGGCUGUCGUGCGCUAUGCCAAUUGGGUGUCCGUACUAAGUUCGGCAUCACUAUGGUGACCUCCCGGGAGCGGGGGACCGCCAGGUUGCCUAAGGAGGGGUGAACCGGCCCAGGUCGGAAAUGGAGCAGGUCCAAAGUUUAUUUUGAUGCAGAAUAUUUGAAAUCCAUGGGGAUUGACAAAGCUUGCCCCAGACCCUUCCUCAAGAGUACAGGAAGACUGGCCAU